rnacentral:rRNA from 1 species
CCGGAGGUUACUGCUAUCGGAGUUCGAUUAAGCCAUGCGAGUCUAAAGGUUUCUUCGGAAACCUUGGCGGACUGCUCAGUAACACGGUGGAUAACCUACCCUUGGGACUGGAAUAACCCCGGGUAAACUGGGGAUAAUACCGGAUAGAUCAGGGAUGCUGGAAUGCACCGUUGAUCCAAAGCUCCGGCGCCCAAGGAUGGGUCUGCGGCCUAUGAGGUAGUAGUGGGUGUAACGUACCUACUAGCCAACGACGGGUACGGGUUGUGAGAGCAAGAGCCCGGAGAUGGAUUCUGAGACACUAAUCGAGGCCCUACGGGGUGCAGCAGGCGCGAAACCUUUACAAUGUGCGAAAGCAUGAUGAGGGAACUCCGAGUGCCAGUAUCUAAUACUGGCUGUCCUUGUGCCUAAAACGCACAAGAUAGCAAGGGCCGGGUAAGACCGGUGCCAGCCGCCGCGGUAACACCGGCGGCCCGAGUGGUAGCCGCUAUUAUUGGGUCUAAAGGGUCCGUAGCCGGUUCGAUAAGUCCUCUGGGAAAUCUGGUUGCUUAACAAUCAGACUGCCAAGGGAUACUGUCGAACUUGAGACCGGGAGAGGUAAGAGGUACUUCAGGGGUAGGAGUGAAAUCUUGUAAUCCCUGGGGGACCAUCUGUGGCGAAGGCGUCUUACCAGAACGGGUCUGACGGUGAGGGACGAGAGCUGGGGGCGCAAACCGGAUUAGAUACCCGGGUAGUCCCAGCCGUAAACGAUGCUCGCUAUGUGUCAGGUACGGUGUGACCGUAUCUGGUGCCGUAGGGAAGCCGUGAAGCGAGCCACCUGGGAAGUACGGCCGCAAGGCUGAAACUUAAAGGAAUUGGCGGGGGAGCACUACAACGGGUGGAGCCUGCGGUUUAAUUGGAUUCAACGCCGGAAAUCUUACCGGGGGAGGCAGCAGCAUGAAGGUCAGGCUGAAGACCUUACCAGAUCCGCUGAGAGGAAGUGCAUGGCCGUCGUCAGUUCGUACUGUGAAGCAUCCUGUUAAGUCAGGCAACGAGCGAGACCCGUGCCCACAGUUGCCAGCAUACCCUUCGGGGUGAUGGGUACUUUGUGGGGACCGCCGCUGCUAAAGCGGAGGAAGGAGCGGGUUACGGUAGGUCAGUAUGCUCCGAAACUCCCGGGCUACACGCGGGCUACAAUGGUUGGG